GUGUUUGGUUCAGCAGCAUACAUCCUAAAACUGGGAUGAUACAGAGAUUAGUACUACUCCUGGGCAAAGAUUACAUACAAAUUUGAGAAGUGCUCCAUACUUUA
ensembl:snRNA U6 U6 spliceosomal RNA